rnacentral:rRNA from 1 species
UACGGGGGGAGCAUGCGUUGUUCGGAUUUACUGGGCGUAAAGGGCGCGUAGGCGGCCACCGCAAGUCGACUGUGAAAUCUCCGGGCUUAACCCGGAACGGUCAGCCGAUACUGCGGGGCUAGAGUGCAGAAGGGGCAACUGGAAUUCUCGGUGUAGCGGUGAAAUGCGUAGAUAUCGAGAGGAACACCUGCGGCGAAGGCGGGUUGCUGGGCUGACACUGACGCUGAUGCGCGAAAGCUAGGGGAGCGAACGGG